rnacentral:rRNA from 1 species
AGAAUCAACGCUGGCGGCGUGCCUAACACAUGCAAGUCGAACGAGAAAGUGGAGCAAUCCAUGAGUAAAGUGGCGACCGGGUGAGUAACACGUGACUAACCUACCUUCGAGUGGGGGAUAACCUCGGGAAACCGAGGCUAAUACCGCAUAACAUCGCAAGAUCAAAGCAGCAAUGCGCUGGAAGAGGGGGUCGCGGCUGAUUAGCUAGUUGGCGGGGUAAUGGCCCACCAAGGCGAAGAUCGGUAGCCGGCCUGAGAGGGCGCACGGCCACACUGGAACUGAAACACGGUCCAGACUCCUACGGGAGGCAGCAGUGGGGAAUUUUGCGCAAUGGGGGAAACCCUGACGCAGCAACGCCGCGUGGAGGAUGAAGCCCCGUUGGGGUGUAAACUCCUUUCGACCAAGACGAUAAUGACGGUACUGGUGGAAGAAGCACCGGCUAACUCUGCGCCAGCAGCCGC